rnacentral:antisense_RNA from 1 species
UUUAAUGGCGGUUGUGCGUGGGAGACCUUCGGGUCUGCCGGGUCUUAGCUCCUCGGUCUGCGAACCCGCGCAUAACUGCCACCC